AACGAACACUGGCGGCAGGCCUAACACAUGCAAGUCGAGCGAGGACUUCGGUCCUAGCGGCGGCCGGGUGAGUAACGCGUGGGAACGUUCCCUUUGCUUCGGAAUAGCUCUGGGAAACUGGGAGUAAUACCGGAUGAGCCCUUUGGGGGAAAGAUUUAUCGGCGAAGGAUCGGCCCGCGUUGGAUUAGGUCGUUGGUUGGGUAAUGGCCUACCAAGCCGACGAUCCAUAGCUGGGUUGAGAGGAUGAUCAGCCACACUGGGACUGAGACACGGCCCAGAAUCCUACGGGAGGCAGCAGUGGGGAAUCGUAGACAAUGGGGGAAACCAUGAACUAGCCAUGACGCGUGAGCGAUGAAGGCCGUAGGGUUGUAAAGCUCUUUCAGCUGGGAAGAUAAUGACGGUACCAGCAGAAGAAGCCCCGGCUAACUCCGUG
rnacentral:rRNA from 1 species